UGGUCUGUAGCUCAAGAGGCAGAGCAGCGCCCUGUUAAGGCGUCGGUUGAAGGUUCGAGUCCUUCCAGGCCAG
rnacentral:tRNA from 2 species